rnacentral:misc_RNA from 1 species
ACUUAUGCAAAUACGAGGGCCAAAGAGCUUUUGCUGAGCAGUUAAAAUGAUGUCAGUGGUGCAAGUUAGCAGCAGAGAUAUGUUAGCUGAAACUUGUAUAAUUAUGUUGCUCUUACAAAGAUGUUUCUCUGUUGAUUUGACUUACCAUGUUGAAGAAGAAAAGAACUCUGGUACUUACAUUGGAAAUAUUGCAGCAGAUUCCUUGCUUAUGGAUAGUGUUGCACUACAAGACCAUGGUCAAAUUACAUUCAAUCACCUACAACAGAGACAAACAGAAACGGCUCAAUUGUUUAAUGUCUCAAAGACUGGAAAAUUAUACACCACUGAAAAAAUUGAUGCCGAGGUCCUGUGUACCUACAACACAGAAUGCUUCAGAAUAAUCAAAGUUGCUGUCCAUCGAGCUGAUUCCUUCAUGCAGAUAUUGAAGAUAAAAGUAUAUAUUGAAGAUGUUAAUGAUAACUAUCCAGUGUUUCCAAAAGAAAGCAUCAGCAUAGAAUUUUCAGAAGAACACAGCAAAGGUGUGAAGAGGUCUUUGCCAAAUGCGAUUGAUCGAGAUGUUAGCUUUCGUAAUUCCCAAGUUACGUAUGUCUUGGAAAAGAACCUCAAUGAACCAUUCACACUUUCAGUGACUAAAAGAGGUUUUGGAACAUCAGAAUUAGGAAUUGUAUUAGAAGAGAGUCUUGAUCGAGAAAUAAAGGAUACUUACAUGUUACAAGUUAUAGCUAAAGAUGGUGGUGUUUCACCAAGACAAGGUGUUUUGAAGGUUCAAAUAUCAGUGAUAGAUGUAAAUGACAACCCCCCAGUGUUCUCUGAUAAGGUAUAUAACGUGUCAAUUAAAAACACACACAGAACAUCAGUACCAAUUAUUAUUUUAUCUGCAAAAGAUUUAGAUUAUGGUAAGAACAGUCAGGUUUCUUAUCAUUUCAGUUCUAAAACAUCAGAAGGUACCAAAAAGCAGUUCAGGUUAGAUGAAAACAGUGGUGAAGUUUUCUUGAGAGGAAAAGUUUCUUCAAAUCGUAUAUCAAGUUUGAAAUUAUAUAUAGAUGCAACAGAUGGAGGAAAUCCCCCAUUAAGCUCAAUUGCUUUAGUUUUGGUGAAUAUUGUCAGCCAACAGAAUAAUGCUCCCACUAUUGAAAUAAAUUUUGUCUCUCGUUUAAAGGAAAAUGUUGCUGCAAUAUCAGAAGGAAUAAGAGUGGGAAGUUUCAUUGCAUAUGUCAAUGUUAUUGACAAUGAUAUUGGACUGAACGGUGAAGUCGACUGUGAAAUAACACAUGAGAAAUUCCAAUUGUUAAACUUAGGAUCAAAUGAGUAUAAAAUAAUAAUGAAAAAACAAGUGGAUAGGGAAGUCAAGGAAUUUUAUGAUAUUCAACUCAUAUGUCAAGAUAAAGGAUCUCCUUCACUGAAAACUGUAAGAAAGUUUUCCAUCCAAGUGAUGGAUGUCAAUGAUGUGCAGCCUCAGUUCACGAAAGAUACUUUUAAAUUUCUCACCUAUGAAAAUGAAAAACCAAGCUUUCCAGUAGGUUUCAUUAAUGCUACUGACCCUGACUUGGGAGAUGGCGGUCGACUGACUUAUUAUUUGACAGGGAAUCGGAAAAAGAUCUUCCCAUUUGAAAUCACAAAUAACGGAUUCAUUUCCACAAUUCAGUCAUUAGACCGUGAACAGCAAGAUAUUUAUGAAUUUAAGGUUUUUGUCAAAGACAAUGGUUCCCCUUCACUAAACAACACAGCAAAUGUUAUUGUUGAAGUAAUGGAUGAAAAUGAUAAUGCUCCAUAUUUCACAUUCCCCAGUGUUAAUCCAUUCAAUCUGGAUGUCCACUACCACCCACAGAGUAAAAAUGACAUUACAGUUAUCAGAGCAUCUGACAGAGACAGUCAUGUAAAUUCGUUUUUAAAAUAUGAAAUAGUCGGAGGUAAUAAUAAACAUUUAUUUACAGUCAACCCUUAUGCUGGAGUGUUAUCUUUCUCUCGCACAGUUUACCAAAAUGAUGCCGGGUCAUACAACCUUCUGUUAGUUGUCAAAGACAGUGGCAGCCCAGUGCUGUCAGCAACAACCACUCUGUCUUUAACACUGACUGUAAGUAAUAAAACAGCAAAAAUACAGACUACAGUACAGUUACAGUCUGAAGAUAUGAUAGAUAUAAACUGGGUUAUUGUAAUUGCAGUAAUUGCAGUUUUACUGGCAGUAGCUGUUGCUGUUUUUGUGACUAUGUGCAUUGUUAAAUGCAACAAUAUAAAUUCACAUAACCAAAACAUCAAUCCUAAACUUCACAUAAAAAAAGAAAAAAGACUAUUAAUUUCAAGAGCCAGUACUCCAGGUACAAUAAGCAGUAAUCCUGGUACAAUAACAAGAACUCCAGAAGGGGAGAGGAGUAGAAAUAUUCAAGCUACAGAAGUGGGUAAUCAGCUUUACCCAGGAAGUGAAUUACAGAAUGAAUGGAGAUCAUCUUGUAUAGCCAGAGGACUUUUACCAUCCACACAGGCCUGCAACCUUACAUCGGGGAAAGGUGGAGUGGAAGAAGGUACAUUUAUGACACUCGACCAAAAUAGUGGAUUAGAAACUUCCUAUAAAAACAAUCGACAUGGUUGGAUUAAAGGGGAAAAUGGACUCUAUGAAGAAAUACCAGCCUUCAAAAGAAUGUAAUAUGCAGAGAGAAGUUUUUUAAGCUACUGUAAAGACUUCUCCUUAGAACAUCUGCCUAUCUGCAUCUUCAUCUUCUCACUUUUGGCAGCAUCCUGCACAAUAAGUCUCACACUUUUGAGAUGAAAAACUUAGAACCUCAAUUAAGACACUCUGAC